UUUUUUGCCUUGGUACCUAAAUCCAUACAUAUACUCUCUUUAAAAUUAUACUCUCUUUAAAAAUUCUAUACCUUGAUGAUAAAGAGCUUGCAAAGCCGCAAUGAAAAACUGGAAAUUCGACCAACAACUUUUGCUACAACUAAAAAUCAAAGCAGAUCAGAAAAGUACACCCAAAGCUUGAAAAAAAAUUAAAUCACACACAAUCAGAAAAAUGGAAAACUCACCAGUAAACGUUUGAUCGUAUCCUUAACUUUUUCUGAAAUAAAAAAUCAAAACACAUCAGAGAACCACACAUAAACCACGAAAAAAAAAUUGAAAUUAUAUAGCUGAUGCACAAAUGGUUUGCAAACGCACAUACAAAAUUUCCUAAAAACAAAGACAAACGUUUCCUGAAAUGAAAAGAAAAGCAAAUCAUAGAGACAAACCGAAGACCACCCCAAAAAAAUUUAAAUUUUGUUCGACAAAAAGCCCAAAAGAAAAAGUAGAUUUUAUAUACACAUCUUGAACACAAAAAGCUUACGAAGUCGCACAUGAAAGCCCCAAAAUUGGGACAUGAGGGUUUCCUGAAACCAAAUAAGCGCACAUAUCAAACCCCCAAAAUGAAAAAAAAGAAAAUUUAAAGAAAAAAUCCAUCUGCAAAUCGAAAACCACCGAAAAAAAUUAAAUCAGACACAUUGGAAAAAACGCAAAACUCAAUGGAACAACACUGGCGUGGAAGAGAAAAAAAGCAAAAGGUGAGAAUGGAGAGAGAGAAGCGAACGGAAAGAAAAAGCUAAGAAGAGGUUGGAAACGGAACAAUAGAAGAGUAGAAAUGGGUAUAGGAAACGGAACAAUGGAACAAAAAGCAGGCUGUGUAUAGAGCGAGAAAAGCAAACCUCACGAUGACCAACACGUGGUAAGAGAGGCCCCGGUUCCCCCAACUUUUCCAGCCUCCUUCUGUUAAAUUCACUGUAUAUUACAUUUUUUAAUAUUUUUUUGGUCUUGCCACCGGCUAUACAUGGGGUUCAAAAAUUAAGAAGGUAUAAAUUUUUAUUGUUUCUUGUGCCACAAACCAUGUGGCACGGUCUUAAUCACAUUUUUUAAAUAUUUUUUUGCUCUUCCCAUAAGCUGUACAUGAGUUUUAAAAAUUAGGAAGGUAUACAUUUUUAUUGUUUGUUGUGCCACAAACCAUGUGGCCCGAUUUUAAUCACAUUUUUUUAAUAUUUUUUUCUGCCCACCAGCUAGGUUUAAAGAAUUAAAAAAAGACUAAAAGAAAGACACCACAGAUGGAGGAACAGGUGAUAAGAAAGGGCAAAUUCGGGAUUUUACUGUACAAAAAAGACAAAAAGUAACUGCUGAAGACUAACUUGAGGGGCAUUUUAGUCCGCACACUGCCUUAGAAUAGUAACCAUCGGUUUGGGUUUUAGUAUAUAUAAACAAGUAAAUUUUGCCCGCACGUUGUUGCGGGAGCGAAAAUAUAACUAUAGAUUAUGUUUUUAACAUAUAAAUAUGCAAAGAGUUAUAAAUACUAAACAUGAAAUGAAACAAAUAUUUUUCCGAAGCUGUGUAAGUUGAUAUAAUUUACAGAAAAUACAUUAUCAAAUGCCUUAUCAUCAGUACACAAAAAUGGUUAAUCUAGUAUUCCCCCUUGACAGUGAUCCUAAAGAGCCCAUUGUUUAUAUACAUAAAAAAGAAUGGAGAAUUCAUGUUAGGAUCAACUAUUUACACACACAAAAAAAUGUGAAAUCAAUACUUCUUUUUUUUGGAUAACACAUGCCAACAUCCUCUAACACAUGAGCAAAAGUUUUUUGGUUGAAGCAGUAACUGCAGAAAAAACAAUAUUGAUCAUCAGAAAAAAAAAAAAAAAAAGAGAAGCUAAAAAUGAAAGGAAAAGAGGAGAAAAGGAAAUAAGACAGCAAACGUGCAGAAAAGAAAAGAGAAACAAAAGAAAAGAGCUUACAAACAUACGUUGCUUUAUCACAUUUUUUAAUAUUUUUUUUGUCCUGCCACCCAUUUUUUUAUUAUUAUUUUAUCUUUUUCUGAACUAAAAGAAUCUUGCCACAUUAAGUUUAGCUUGUAUUUUUUAAUUUUUUCUUUUGCCUUACGAAAGACUUGUCUUGUCACGCCGGGUUUAACUCACAUUUUUCAAGAUUUUUAUUGCCUUACCAUCAGUUGCUUUAUCACAUUUUUUAACAUUUUUUUGUCCUGCCAUCAAUUUUUCCUGCCAUAAGUUGUUUUAUCAUAUUUUUUUAAUAUUCAUUUGUCCUGCCACCAAUUUUUUUAUCAUUAUUUUAUCUUUUUCUGGACUAAAAGAAAGACUUAUCGUGCCACACCGGGUUUAAAUCUCAUUUUUUUAGAUUUUUUUGCCUUAGAAUCAGUUGCUUUAUCACAUUUUUUUAGAUUUUUUUGUAAGAAUUCUCAUAAAAAGAUUAAAAAAAAAAGACUCAGUAUAUUUUUUGCUCUAUCAUGGUCAUCAGUUUAGGUAGCAAUCAUUUAUCCUAAUUCAUUUUCAAAUUAGGAUUCGAAUUCAAAAUACAAAACACGAAAAUCCAAAUUAAACAGAAAAUUCAAAUUCAGAACGCAAAAACCUAAAUGCAUCUAACAUUUAUUAACACAAAAGAAGCAAAAGCUAGUCAUGAUAACAAUUUGACCAGUUAAGAAAAUCUCUUUCUUUUAUCAUUUUACAACACUCUUGUUUUCAAAAAUAUUUAAACAAAGCGAUCUCUAUCUUUUAAAUUUCAGUCUCUAAGCAAACCUCUACCCUAUCGCACUGUUAGCAACCAAUUUUUUGCCUUGGUACCUAAAUCCAUACAUAUACUCUCUUUAAAAUUAUACUCUCUUUAAAAAUUCUAUACCUUGAUGAUAAAGAGCUUGCAAAGCCGUAAUGAAAAACUGGAAAUUCGACCAACAACUUUUGCUGCAACUAAAAAUCAAAGCAGAUCAGAAAAGUACACCCAAAGCUUGAAAAAAAAUUAAAUCACACACAAUCAGAAAAAUGGAAAACUCACCAGUAAACGUUUGAUCGUAUCCUUAACUUUUUCUGAAAUAAAAAAUCAAACCACAUCAGAGAACCACACAUAAACCAUGAAAAAAAAAUUGAAAUUAUAUAGCUGAUGCACAAAUGGUUUGCAAACGCAUAUACAAAAUUUCCAAAAAACAAAGACAAACGUUUCCUGAAAUGAAAAGAAAAGCAAAUCAUAGAGCCAAAUCGAAGACCACCCAAAAAAAAUUUAAAUUUUGUUCGACAAAAAGCCCAAAAGAAAGAGUAGAUUUUAUAUCACACCUUGAACACAAAGAGCUUGCGAAAUCGCACAUGAAAGCCCCAAAAUUGGGACAUGAGCGUUUCCUGAAACCAAAUAAGCGCACAUAUCAAACCCCCAAAAUGAAAAAAAAUAAAAUUUAAAGAAAAAAAUCCAUCUGCAAAUCGAAAACCACCGAAAAAAAUUAAAUCAGAUACACUGGAAAAAACGCAAAACUCAAUGGAACAACACUGGCGUGGAAGAGAAAAAAAGCAGAAGGUGAGAAUGGAGAGAGAGAAGCGAACGGAAAGAAAAAGCUACGAAGAGGUUGGAAACGGAACAAUAGAAGAGCAGAAAUGAGUAUGGGAAACGGAACAACGAAACAAAAAGCAGGCUGUGUAUAGAGCGAGAAAAGCAAACCUCACGAUGACCAACACGUGGUAAGAGAGGCCCCGGUUCCCCCAACUUUUCCAGCCUCCUUCUGUUAAAUUCACUGUGUAUCACAUUUUUUAAUGUUUUUU
rnacentral:lncRNA from 1 species